rnacentral:rRNA from 1 species
AUGCCGUCGUGGCCGAAGAGCAACGAGACGUCGAACGACGAUGACGAGUACAUGAGCGAGUUCAGCAGCAUGCAGAUGGAGUACUUUCAAACUCCUGACACUGUGAUAGACCCUAGUUUCUGUGGGCUUGUGACUGAAUCUGCCAGAAGGUGCAUCCUGCACAGGCAGAGGGCGGGCAAGUUUGUGGCAUUUGAAGGCACUGACACUGGCAGGAGAUUCAUAGGAUGUGCUACUGAGGAUGGUGUGAACUGUGGUGUUCUGGAGUGGGUAGAUGCUCCCUGGCUUGUAAUUCUGCAAAGAUGCUUAAGCAAGCUCUGGGAUAUGUAUCAUGAGCAGAACCUUGGUAGAGCCCAGGAUAAUGAGGCUCAUGGGAUAGAGGUUGCAAAACUGCAGAAGGAGCUUGGUUCUCUGGCCAAUCAGUAUAGCCAGCUGGUGGAUGAUGUGUCCAAGUUGUUUGAUUAUCAGGAUGGAAUCAAAUCUCAUGACAUGGAUUGCACAAGCCAGGCAAUCAAUGAACUGAAGGAGAAGAAGAAGCAUCUUGAGGAGCAGGCAAAGAUUGAGCUUCAAAUGGAGAAGCUUAAGCUCAAGAAAGAACAAAGUCAUUGCUGA